CCUCAUCGUCUGACUCAUCUGAUUUCUUAUCAGGUUGUAGGGAGCUCAAGUCUACCUUAGGCAUGAGGCAGUGAAGUUGCUUUUUGUAUUUUGCGAACCCGAGCUAGAAUGCAUCCGCAUUAGCAUCAGCGAGCUCAUCCUCGUACUCCUUAGAAUCAUGAAACUCGGCUAGUGCCUAAGAAGUAGCUUCUUGGAUCUGAGUUUCUACCGCUGUCAAUUUUUUUUGAAGUUCGAUGGUGGUCUUCUCGGCCUCCUUGGCAGCCCUCUCAGCCUUCAGUGCCCUUUCCUUCUUCUCGAUAAGGGUGCUCUCGGCUGACUCCAUCUCCUUCUGAUAGUCGACCUUCAGCCUCUCAAACUCCUCCUUCUCUUUCCUCUACUGGGUCACCGAAUUUGCCAACUCGGCCUCCAGUAGAGAUAUCUUCUCUCUGCUCUUCUCUCUCGCUCCUCGAUGGCUCGGAGGAGUUCAUCAGAAACCUCGGCCCGUGCAUGAGAAGUUGGGCCUGAUCCUCUAAGUUGUGGUUGACCUGAGCAUACUUGAUUAACCCUUUCGACAACAUAGUAAUGCCGUGGAUCAUUUGCAAAACAAAAAAAAAUGAUAAAGUCAUCUACUCAGCCAAAAAUAAUUCGGAAAGAAGCCGGAAAAGGAAAGGUUGGACACUUAUCCCGAUCAACGACAUAUAAGCAUCUGACUGAAUCUCCAAGAUCGAGCACACUUUCUUGACUUCCCGGUCCACAAGAAGCAUGACCAUUCUCGCC
rnacentral:lncRNA from 1 species